GGACUGAUGGGAGCUUGCUCCCUGAUGUUAGCGGCGGACGGGUGAGUAACACGUGGGCAACCUGCCUGUAAGACUGGGAUAACUCCGGGAAACCGGGGCUAAUACCGGAUAACCCGUUCCACCUCAUGGUGGAGCGGUAAAAGAUGGCCUCUGGCUAUCACUUACAGAUGGGCCCGCGGCGCAUUAGCUAGUUGGUAAGGUAACGGCUUACCAAGGCGACGAUGCGUAGCCGACCUGAGAGGGUGAUCGGCCACACUGGGACUGAGACACGGCCCAGACUCCUACGGGAGGCAGCAGUAGGGAAUCUUCCGCAAUGGACGAAAGUCUGACGGAGCAACGCCGCGUGAGUGAUGAAGGUUUUCGGAUCGUAAAGCUCUGUUGUUAGGGAAGAACAAGUGCCGUUUGAAUAAGGCGGCACCUUGACGGUACCUAACCAGAAAGCCACGGCUAACUACGUGCCAGCAGCCGCGGUAAUACGUAGGUGGCAAGCGUUGUCCGGAAUUAUUGGGCGUAAAGCGCGCGCAGGCGGUCUCUUAAGUCUGAUGUGAAAGCCCACGGCUCAACCGUGGAGGGUCAUUGGAAACUGGGAGACUUGAGUACAGAAGAGGAGAGUGGAAUUCCACGUGUAGCGGUGAAUGCGUAGAUAUGUGGAGGACACCAGUGGCGAAGGCGACUCUCUGGUCUGUAACUGACGCUGAGGCG
rnacentral:rRNA from 1 species